rnacentral:lncRNA from 10 species
GACUUCUCUUCGCAGGAUUCCCUCUCUUAGGGUUCCUCCACGGUGUUCUCCAUGCCCGGUCGAGGGCUCCAGGACUUUGGGCGGUAAUGAGUCGGCUACAGUGGGUCUGAGCCGGCGCCGCGGACGAGUCCCUUCGUUUCAGCCAGUUUGGCUCGUUUAUUGAGAAAAGUGGGGGGCGAGGGGUUAGUAUGUAAGAAAGUCUUAAAGUUUCCACAUGGUUAAGGUAAUUUUAUCAACUCUUUCUUGCACCCCUCCCCCUAGUACAGGUUUCAGACCUAAAUAACCUAGAGUUCAGGAUCCAGACUUCAAAAUAUUCACUGCUUUUUCUGUUGUUUGUGAAAAAUAAGUGUUUUCUUUGAGCCCAGAUCGUGCUAUUGCACUCCAGCCUGGGCAACAGCCAAACCCUAUCCGAAAAAAAAAAAAAAAAAAAAAGCGCUUUCUUUUUCGACGCUUCUUGCUUCCCUUCAAUAAGUUGCUUGAGGAGCAACUUUGCAGCUUCGUAAUAACACUGUAAUUCAAGUAUUUGUUCAAGAAAGGCAAGUAAGAAGUCUUGGCACGGGGGUGGGGAAUAUAGGGAAAUGUUGGUCAAAUGAUACAAAGUUUCAGUCAGAGAAGGUGGAUGAGUUCUAUAGUUAAUAAUCAUAUAUUGUGUACUUGAAAUUGUGAAGAGGGUACACCUUAAAUGUUCUCACCACAGGAAAGUAUGUGAGAUGAUGGAUUAUGUUGAUUAGCUUCAUUUAAUUAUUUGCAGUGUGUGUGUGUAUAUAUAUGUAUAUCAAAACGUCACGUUGUAUACCAUAAACAUGAACAAUUUCUAUUUGUCACUUACACCUUAAAGCUGGAGUCGGGGGAAAGAAAUCAUUUAUCAGGCAGUAUAUGCUGGAAAGGGAAAUGCCAGCAUCUCAUUUCCAGUUGUUAAUGUGAUACCACUAGUCAAGUCCUUAACCUCUCAAGGCCUGUAUCUCUCCAGUAAAGUUCAUUCUUGGUCCUAGAUUAGGUUUGUAAGUCACCAAGGCAUUUCAAAGGUGCAGGAAAUGUAAAAAUAAGCCUUUUGAGUAUUAACCAAGAUUAGUUUUCCCCACCCUUUAUUUUCUGACUUCCUUCAUGGAUUCAGUAGGAGUUUAGUUUGGUCAUCCCUGGCCAAUCAGAUGUUUAGCACUAAUAAAACUGAGGAAGAACUCCAAGUAGCAAUCCUCUGGGAUCUGUUAGAUUUCUGAGAAAAGAAUGGUAAUUUUUAGCUUUCUUGUCAGCUUUCUGACAAGCUUUUUUUUUUUUUCACCUUAUCAGUUAUUUUCUAUGGAAAAGUCUUGGUCGUAAAUUCACUACAGCUGCUCUUUAGAAGUUCUUUUAUGGCCAGGCACAGGGGCUCACGCCUGUAAUCCCAGUACUUUGGGAGGCCGAGGUGGGUGGAUCACGAGGUCAGGAGUUCAAGACCAGCCUGGCCAAGAUGGUGAAACCCUGUCUCUACUAAAAAUACAAAAAUUAGCUGGGCGUGAUGUUGGGUGCCUGUGAUCCCAGCUACUCGGAAGGCUGAGGCAGAGAGUUGCUUGAACCUGGGAGGCAGAGGUUGCGGUGAGCCAAGAUCUCACCACUGCACUCCAGCCUGAGCAACAGAGUGAGACUCCAUCUCAAAAAAAAACCAAAAAAAACGGAGUUAUUUUACUACGUAGGUACUUUAGCAUAAUAUUUCCUGAGCACCCAGGGUUCCAUGGUGCUCUGCAGACCCUAUCAAUGUCAGAGACAGUAGUGAAUUGCUUACGAAAUGUUCUUGAAUGUAGAAUCUCCUCUGGGUAAAUGUGUUUGUGCUAUAUAUAACAUAAAUGAAGGGGAGCUGCAGGUAAUUGUGGAUAGGAAGGAAAAUCUUUUCUCCCAAGAGAGUGCAUUGUAACAAUCUAGCAGCUAGCAUAAUGUGUCUUUGAAAGAAAUAAAAUGAGAAAUUAGCUAUUUAAAAGUAAUUGAAGUUAAAAUGUGUGUACGUACAAAGGAAUAUUGUUCACCCUUUAAAAAGGAAUGAAAUUCUGAUACAUGCUACAACUUGGAUUAGACUUGAAGACCUUAUGCUAGGCGAAAUCUCAAGACACAGAAAGACAAAUAUUGUAUGAUUCUACUUAUGUUCGGUACCUAGAAUAGUCAAAUUCAUAGAAACAGAAAGUAGAAUAGUGAUUAUCUAGGGCUGGAGGAAAAGGGGAAUGAGGAGUUAAUGGGUUUAAUGGGUACACCAUUUCAGUUUGGGAUGAUAAUGAAGUUCUGGAGAUGGAUUGUAGUGAUGGUUGCACAACAGUGUGAAUGUAUUUAAUGUCACUGAAUUGUACACUUAAAAAUGGUUAAAAUGGUAAGUUUUAUGUUAGGAUAUUUUACCACAACAGAAAUAAUUUUUUAAGUUAAAGGGGGGAAAAAGGAAAAUAAUGGAAAUGUGAGUUCUUUGAGGGUCAGUACUCUCUUGUUCAGCCUAGCACCUGGCAUAUGCUCUAGAUACAUUUGUUUAGUAAAUAAGUAUUUAUUUUUUUAACUUUUAUUUUAAGUCCAGGGUGUAUGUGCAGGAUGUGCAGGUUUGUUAUAUAGGUAAACGUGUGCCAUGGGGAUCUGCUGUACACACCAUUUCGUCACCCAGGUAUCAAGCCUAGUAUCCACCAGUCAUUUCUCCUGAUCCCCUCCCUCCUGCCACCCUCCGCCCUCCAGUAGGCCCCAGUAUGUGUUGUUCCCCUCCGUGUGUCCAUGUGUUCUCAUCAUUGAGCUCUCACUUGUAAGUGAGAACAUGUGGUAUUUGGUUUCUGUUCCUACAUUAGUUUGCUAAGGAUAAUGGCCUCCAGAUAAGGAUUGAUUGAUUGAUUGAUUGCUAUAGGCAUACUAGUUCCAUAGACAUUAAUAUAUGUGUGACUUGGAGAAGUAGAGUAAGUAGAAAAUUCAGAAUUUCAAAUAGCCACUUUAAAAUGUUUUUAAGUACUGUAUUUCUUUAAAUUUUUUAAAUAAAAUAGACAAAAGUUUGGUUGGCUACACCUUUUUAGGUGAAAUAUACUGAGAGAUGCGGACUCUUCCUCAUUGGAGAAAUGUAAGUUAUUUAGACAUUAAUAAAAGUUCUGCGUUCACCCAUAGAGUGAGAGUUCUCAAAUAUUUUGGUACUAUUUUGCACAUUUUUGCAAAGAAAGGAAGAUCAUCCUUAAUUGAAAGCUGCCAUGAUUAUUUUACAGAUGAAACAAACUGUAUUGCAGUAAAGAUACUUUUUCAACUAUAGAUUGGAAGCUGUGUCAUUCUACUGGAAGUAAAUGAAGUAGUUUGGUAAAGUUAAUAGCCCGAUAAAUGUUGAAAAUACUCACAUUUGUUAGCAAACAUCAUAUAUGAGUACUUUGUGUCAGACAUUCCUGGGUGAGGCAGAAAAUAUGUGGAGAAUUUAAAAAGUGAUUCCAAAUAAAUUUAGGUCCCUUUGCUCUUUCUAAAUAUUACAUUCCCCAAAUCCAUUUAUCCACAUUUAUCUCUAGUAACUACAAUUUGUUUAUGUAAAAAGACAUUUUAGAUUUGGCUGCUUCCCUGUGUGUCAUUUUUUACUUCAAUCACUUUGUAGAGUAUUUUUAAAUAACAAAGGUUUUUAACUCAAGGAUAUAGAGAGGUUUAGCUAGCUUUGAUUCUUGCAAACCCCUGAAGAAAUAGAAAAUGAACAGUUCUGGCCAGUGACUUAGCAUGGCAAGAGUACUAAUGCAGGCCCAUUGCUGCAUAAUCUGGGACUACUCUAAUGGGAAACUUUGGCUUAUAGACGCCCCCAUCAGCCUAGCUGAAAUUUUCUUAGAACUGCGCUGCAGUCUGAGACCCUGCCUGUGCAAUCCUUUCUUUUCUCUCUCCUUCAUAGGUGCCAGACUUAUAUCACAGUCUGGAGCAUCUCCCACCUUCUCCUGCUCUCAUCCCUUUUAUCCUUCAUAGAUGUUUCUGCCAAUUGAUCUCUUACAUGUUUUUAUGGGCUAAAUUGUGUCUUGCCCCAAAUUCAGAAGUUAAAGCCUUAACCCCCAGUAUCUCAGAAUGUGACUGGAGCUAGGACCUUUAAGGAAGUGCUCAAGUUCAAUGAGGCUGUUAGGGUGGGCCCUAAUCCAGUCCUGACUGAUGGUUUUAUAAGAAGAGGGAAUUUGGAUACACAGACACCAGGGGCAGGUGCACACAAGAGAAACGGCCACGUGAAGACACAACAAGAAGGUGGCCAUCUGCAAACCAAGGAGAGAGGUUCAGAAGAAGCCAGACCUUCUGACACGUUGAUCUUGGACUACUAGCCUCCAGAAGUGUGAGGAAAUACAUUUCUAUUGUUUAAGCCACUCAGUCUGUGGUAUUUUGUUAUGGCAGCCCUAGGAAACUAAUACACAUGUCAAAUCUCAUUUUGGCCUUUGCCUCUCAGAGGACCCAAACUAACACAGAUGGCGCUAGGGGAGAUCAGGAAGACAUAAGAUGGGGUUUCAGGACUGACUCACUUACUACUUGUUGGGCAAAGAGGAUGCCAUCCUGCACAGUAUAGGAGCUUGGGUAGUUCCUAGCACAAGGUGGUGACCCAGUUGCUAAAGAUUUUCAUCAAUGUUGACCUGGGAAAAUAUCCCAGUGAACUUAAAGACCUUGCAGAUACAAUUUCAGGCAUUUGAAAUAUAUGGGGGAACAAUGCCUACAAGGACAGUGGAGAUGCUUAGAUACUGCUAAGUUAUAGCAAUACUCUGAAAAGGGAUGAGAAAACAAAGCUUACACUUGGUUAAUGGCCAAAUGUGAAAGACAGAGGGUCUCUUUAGUAGCCUACAAAGAGUCAUUUAUUUUCUGCAAUGGAAAAGCUAACAUGGAUGAGUGACAGACUUCAGACAUGAUAGAGUCACAUAUUCCAGACACAUUGAAAUGUGCAGCCAAACAGGUCAGGGUUCUUAUUGGGAAAGCCAGAGACUGAAACAAAGGAUGGGACAUCUGGGUGGACAUCCAUAUGGAUGUUUGCUCUGCAGACCUCUGUGUACUUUCAAAACUUGCAGAAGUGGUCUGCCUCUCUAUAUUAAGAGUGAGUAAUUCCCCCAAACUGAAAGAUACUGCAGAGCUACUCUCCGACCAAGAAGCACAGGAGUUGCCCCAAAUUCCUCUCCUAGCCCCUCCAGGCCAAUAGCUAGAGGUAAAUACUAGCAUAACCCAGCUAGGAAGAUGCUGGGCCUGACAAAGGAGGAAAAACAAUAAGAAUAAAUUCGCGUAUGCAGACAAGCCGGGGAGCACUCAGGGAUUGGAUUUUGAGGUUGCUUGAUCAAGGGAACUGAAAUAUAAAACAGUAAUCAAGAUUCAUUGACUUGGGGGCACUUCUUGAGACACAGAAUUUAACACCCUAGCAAAGACUCAGACAUAAAGUCACUUUUGGGAAAUUCUUAGAAAUCUGGAACAAGUGAUGACCAAUGCUGAGCAAAGUAAAAAUGAGUUACCCUAGCAUAUGGUAGAAGAAUGAAUUUAAAAAUAAUUUAAAAUAAUUUAAAAAUUCAUUCUUCUACCAUAUGGGGGAAGUGAGUGUUUUCAAUUGAUGUAUUAUGUGAGAGCAGAAGACCCUUUAGAGGAUUAUGGUCCACAGAAGGGUCAAGAAGAUGCACCAUUCACCAAGGCCAUCAGAAGUCCUCUGUUAAGAGGAAUAGCAGCAUCACCAAAUAGUUUUCUGCAGUCCUGGGCUGACAAUUGGAGAAGCAGUCACUGAGUUGGGCUUAUUAAUAACUAUGAGAAUUAUAUCACCCCACCUCCCAAGUAAUAGAGGCCAGAUGGUGGUGCUUAGUCAUCAGAAUCCAGAAGUCCAAUUACCAGUAAGAGCAGCAAGAUCUGGGAAGAGUAGCAAAGUAGAAAUGUCUGAAUUUUUCUGAUGUAUGGUAGGGGCCAUUCCCUACUUUAGUCAUAUAUUUCUGUAGACUCUGUUGUAUUGUAGCUGUCAGACAUGGAAAGAUGUAGUUUGGAGUUUGUGAUGAUUAAUUUUUUAUCAACUUCACUAUAGGGUACCCAGAUAUUUGAUCAAAUAUUCUAGGCUUGUCUGUGAGGGUGUUUCUGGUUAAGGUUAACAUUUGAAUUGGUAGACUGAGCAAAACAGAUUGCCCUCCCAAAUGUGAGUGAGCCUCAUCUAAUCAAUUGAAGACCUGAAUAGAAUAAAAAAGCUAAGAGGGAACUCCUCCUACCUGACUACUUGAGCUGGGACAUUGGUCUUUUCUGGCCUUUGGACUGGGACUGGAACAUCAGCUCUUCUUGGGUGUCAAGCCUACCAACUUUCAGACUUUAAUUGGGCAGAAGCCAAUGGUCUGGCCCUUUCACAGGGGGUCUGGAAGGCAAAGGACUGGAAAAUCAAAGACAAGGAGGUCUGGGAUAGAGUUACGUGAAUGAAUAUAUGGAAGUAGUCAUGAGGUGUGAAGUUUUUAUCUCAUGUAUCUACAAGAGAAGAGGCACUAAACAAUCAAGAAGGCAAAAUGAGUCAGUUGACAUUACUAGGCUUAAUCAUUGGCCACCUAGGAACCAGCAUCAUGGGCACUUUUAUGGGCUAAAUUGCUGUCUUUGUCUGUUCAGAUACUGCUUAUUAGACAUACCUGAGACUGGGUAAUUUAUAAAGGAAAGAGGUUUAAUGGACUCAGUUCCACAUGGCUGGGGAGGCCUCACAACCAUGGCGGAAGUCAAAGGAGAAGCAAAAGCACAUCUUACAUGGCAGCAGGCAAGAGUGCAUGUGCAGGGGAACUCCCCUUUAUAAAACCAGACCUUGUGAGACUUAUUCACUAUCACAAGACUUACUAUCAUGGGAAAGAUCCACCCCCAUGAGUCAGUUAUCUCCCACAGGGUCCCUCCUGUGACAUGUGGGAAUUAUGGGAGCAAAAUUCAAGAUGAGAUUUGGGUGGGUUCAGAGCCAAACCAUAUCAUUCUGCCCCAGCCCCUCCCAAAUUUUAUGUCCUCACAUUUCAAAACCAAUCAUGCCUUCCCAACAGUCCCCCAAAGUCUUAACUUAUUUCAGCAUUCACUCAGAAGUCCACAGUCCAAAGUCUCAUCUGAGACAAGGCAAGUCCCUUCCCCCUAUAAGCCUGUAAAAUCAAAAGCAAGUUAGUUACUUCCUAGAUACAAUGGGAGUACAGGCAUUGGGUAAAUACACCAAUUCCAAAUGGGAGAAAUUAGCCAAAACAAAGAAGCUACAGACCCCAUGCAAGUCAGAAAUCCAGCAGGGCAGCCAAAUCUUAGAGCUCCAAAAUGAUCUCCUUUGACUCCUUGUCUCACAUCCAGGUCAUGAUGAUGCAAAAGGUAGGCUCCCACAGCCUUGGGCAGCUCUGCCCCUGUGGCUUUGCAGGGUACAGCCCUGCUCCUGGCUGCUUUCCUGGACUGGCGUUGAGUGUCUGCGACUUUCCUGGGCACACAGUGCAAGCUGUCGGUGGACCUACCAUUCUGGGGUCUGGAGGAUGUUGGCCUUCUCACAGCUCCACUAGGCAGUGCCCCGCUGGGGACCCUGUGGGGCUCUGACCCCACAUUUCCUUUCUGCACUACUCUAGCAGAGGUUCUCCAUGAGGGCCCUGCUCCUGCAGCAAACUUCUGCCUGAAUAUCCAGGUAUUUCCAUACAUCUCUGAAAUCUAGGCAGAGGUUCCUAAACCACAAUUCCUGACUUCUGUGCACCUGCAGGCUCAACACCACGUGGAAGCUGCCGAGGCUUGGGGCUUGCACCCUCUGAAGCAAUGGCCUGAGCUCUAUGUUGGCCCCUUUUAGCCCCAGAUGGGACACAGGGUACCAAGUCCCAAGACUGCACAAAGCAGCAAGGCCCUGGACCCCGCCCAUGAAACCAUUUUUCUCUCCUAGACCUCCAGGCCUGUGAUGAGAGGGGCUGAGGUGAAGACCUCUGACAUUCCCUGAAGACAUUUUCCCCAUUGUCUUGGUGAUUAACAUUUGGCCCUUCAUUACUUAUGCAAAUUUCUGCAGCUGGAUUGGAUUUCUCCUCAGAAAAUGUGUUUUUCUUUUCUAUUGCAUCAUCAGGCUGUACCUUUUCUGAAUUUUCAUGCUCUGUUUCCUCUUGAAGCCUCUUCCACUUAGGAAUUUCUUCUGGCAGAUACCUAAAUCAUCUCUCUCAAGUUCAAAGUUCCACAGAUCUCUUGGGCAGGGGCAAAAUACCACCAGUCUGUUUGCAUAGCAAGAGUGAACUUUACUUCAGUUCCCAACAAGUUUCCCAUCUCCAUCUGAGACCACCUCAGCCUGGACUUUGUUGUCCAUAUCAUUAUCAACAUUUUGGUCAAAGCCAUUCUACAAGUCUCUAGGAAGUUCCAAACUUUCCCACAUUUUCCUAUCUUCUUCUGAGCCCUCCAAACCAUUCUACCCUCUGCCGUUUCCCAGUUCCAAAGUCGCCUCCACAUUUUUGGGUAUUUUUACAGCAACACCCCACUCUACCAGUACCAAUUUACUGUAUUAGUCUGUUCUCAUGCUGCUAAUAAAGACAUACCC